rnacentral:rRNA from 1 species
UACGGAGGGUGCAAGCGUUAUCCGGAUUCACUGGGUUUAAAGGGUGCGUAGGCGGACAGGUAAGUCAGUGGUGAAAUCUCCGGGCUUAACUCGGAAACUGCCUUUGAUACUCUCUGUCUUGAAUAUGGUGGAGGUAAGCGGAAUAUGUCAUGUAGCGGUGAAAUGCUUAGAGAUGACAUAGAACACCUAUUGCGAAGGCAGCUUACUACGCCUAUAUUGACGCUGAGGCACGAAAGCGUGGGGAUCAAACAGG